AUUGAACGCUGGCGGCAUGCCUUACACAUGCAAGUCGAACGGCAGCACGGGUGCUUGCACCUGGUGGCGAGUGGCGAACGGGUGAGUAAUACAUCGGAACAUGCCCUGUAGUGGGGGAUAGCCCGGCGAAAGCCGGAUUAAUACCGCAUACGAUCUACGGAUGAAAGCGGGGGACCUUCGGGCCUCGCGCUAUAGGGUUGGCCGAUAGCUGAUUAGCUAGUUGGUGGGGUAAAGGCCUACCAAGGCGACGAUCAGUAGCUGGUCUGAGAGGACGACCAGCCACACUGGGACUGAGACACGGCCCAGACUCCUACGGGAGGCAGCAGUGGGGAAUGUUGGACAAUGGGCGAAAGCCUGAUCCAGCAAUGCCGCGUGUGUGAAGAAGGCCUUCGGGUUGUAAAGCACUUUUGUCCGGAAAGAAAUCCUUGGCUCUAAUACAGUCGGGGGAUGACGGUACCGGAAGAAUAAGCACCGGCUAACUACGUG
rnacentral:rRNA from 1 species